ensembl:rRNA 5S_rRNA 5S ribosomal RNA
GUCUAUGGCCAUACCACUCUGAAUGCGCCCAAUCUCAUCUGAUCUCGGAAGCUAAGUAGGGUCAGGCCUGGUUAGUACUUGGAUGGAAGACUGCUAGGAAAUACCAUGUGCUGUAGGCU